GUUGUGAACUGGUUUAUUUGUCUUUUGGACUUGUAUUAAGACAACAGAGAGUACAUAAACACAACUGAGAGGACAGCAGACUCUUUCUUACAAAGCUGUAGUGAGGUGGAUGAGCAUUCUUCUGUUGAAAGAGUUCUUUUUCCUGUGGCAUUUGAAUGAUUAAUUGUAAUACAGGUGCUAUUUCUAGUGGAGGAUAAGCCAUGGGAUUUUGAUUUUUUCUAUAAUAGUAAUUGCAGUAACAGUAGUGAAGCUCCCUGUCAUAUCUUGUUUCAAACACAGUUAUUCUUAUGAAUGUCCAGAAGCAGUGAUACAAAACAUACAGAUUUUUGCUUUAAUGCCAUAUGUGUUUUUAUAGACUUUUGUGUUCCCACUAAUUUAUAGAAUGGUGCUGGAGGCUUAGAGGGCUCCAAGUGUAUGUCCAAAUAUUUGUAGAAAGCUGAAAAUCUGGAGGUAGACUGCACAGUAAUUUAGUAUUACAAACAUGGUAGCAUGUUCAUCUUGAAGACUAAUUUUCCUUAGUGCUAGUACUCAAAAAUGUAUUCUAAAAUGUAGUCUGUUUUAAAUAAGUGAUUCUGAGUACAUUUCUGAAAACUGACUUUUGCCUCAGUAUUUUGUGUCUCAGGAGCUAGUUUAAAUGGAGACUUCCAUAUGGAAAGUCAGUAAGAUUUCUAGCCAGGUAGCUUACUUUGUUGGUUUUGAUAGCUAACAGAAUGGGAACAAAGUGAAUUAUGUAGUCUAAAGUGACAUUUGCUUUAUGACUAGGUAACCUAGCAAGAAGUGCAUUGGCAAUCAGAAGUUUUUUUUCCCAGAGCUACUUAAAGCCUGCAUGCAUUUAUCUUUGGUUGGAAGUGAAAAAGCAAUGUAUUCCUCCAAUUUGCAAGGGAAUUAAAAGGUAACAGCUGUUUUUUAAUGACAUGCAAGAGACCAAGCCAGGGCUUUCCAUGCCCUUUUGGAAUAGGUUUCUCUUAAUGGGGAAAACAUAAGAAUAAAAACCUUUAGAGCUGAUGGGGGGAAAGAGAAGAAUAAAAAGAGAGCUGUGAUAUUCUUUUGCACAUCAGCUAGGGAACACUUCACUGGGUAUGGGGAGGCCAUGAAGAGCUGCUAGUAUGUUUUCAGUUGCUUCCUCUGUUAUCAUGUAGGUGGUCUUGUCUGUUUUAAUGC
rnacentral:lncRNA from 1 species